UGUGAGUAAUGUCUUUAGCGGGAUAUAAAAAGGAAAUUGAAAAGAACGAAAAUAUUUUUAACUUAUUACGUUGCCCUUUGUCUUCUCAAUUACUUGUACUUUUGGCAGAUCCUUGGAAGCGGUAUGUCAAAUAAGAUGUGGGAUGCUCUAAUAGAGCAUGCAAAGACUUGUGUGAUGAGUGGGAAGCUUUAUGUAUAUUAUUCUGAUGAUUCAAGAAAUGUGGGUGUUGUUUUCAACAAUAUUUAUGAGCUGAAUGGCCUUAUAGCUGGUGAACAAUACUAUAUGAGUGGGAAGCUUUAUGUCUAUUAUUCUGAUGAUUCAAGAAAUGUGGGUGUUGUUUUCAACAAUAUUUAUGAGCUGAAUGGCCUUAUAGCUGGUGAACAAUACUAUUCAGCAGAUUCACUUUCAGACAGCCAGAAGGUUGUUUUUCAGUUAUUCUCUUAUGUAUAUAUGACCUGAUUUUCCCUCCUUUCCUUCUUUAGUUCUAUUUGGGGUUGUUAUUAAUGUACUGUGUUAACUCUGAGGUAUCAGGCUGUGCAUUCAGCUGAAUUUUUCAAAAUCUGGGCUUGUGGUCCAAUAUUCUAUGCAGUUGUGGUGCUUACAUUUUGGUAAAGAACAUGCCAGCUCUUAUGGAGUUAAAACCUGCAGG
rnacentral:lncRNA from 1 species